CAUUUAUCCAAAGGCAAAGACAGUUUUGUCGAUGAGAAGUUAUUAAAGAAGUAUGACACUGAACAAAUGGAUAGAAUGAUUGCUUGUGCUUUAGCAUGUGUACGUGGUGAUCCUCAAAAUCGACCACAAAUGAGUAAGAUACUUGAAGUUCUAAAAGGACAUAGCAGUCUGGAGACUUUGGAUGUUCGUUGAGAAGAGAUCACAACUGGACCGAGCACCUUGAUGAUGUAAUAUAUAUAAUAUUGUUUCUAAAUCCGAAAACUUUACAAGAGUGUAACAUGUAAUUUAAAAGAGUGUAUCAUAUAAUUUAAAAGAGUACUUAAAAAAUUUCAUA